rnacentral:rRNA from 1 species
GAUGAACGCUGGCGGCGUGCCUAAUACAUGCAAGUCGAGCGAACAGACGAGGAGCUUGCUCCUCUGACGUUAGCGGCGGACGGGUGAGUAACACGUGGAUAACCUACCUAUAAGACUGGGAUAACUUCGGGAAACCGGAGCUAAUACCGGAUAAUAUAUUGAACCGCAUGGUUCAAUAGUGAAAGACGGUUUUGCUGUCACUUAUAGAUGGAUCCGCGCCGCAUUAGCUAGUUGGUAAGGUAACGGCUUACCAAGGCAACGAUGCGUAGCCGACCUGAGAGGGUGAUAGGCCAAACUGGAACGGAAACACGGUCCAGACUACUACGGGAGGAAGCAGUAGGGAAGCGUCCACAAUGGGCGAAAGCCUGACGGAGAAACGUCGCGUGAGUGAUGAAGGUCUUCGGAUCGUAAAACUCUGUUAUUAGGGAAUAACAAAUGUGUAAGUAACUAUGCACGUCUUGACGGUACCUAAUCAGAAAGCCACGGCUAACUACGUG